CAAUUAUCAAUGUCCGAGGAAACCUCACCAGUAGUAUUAGCAAGGAAUUUCGUGUAAUAUAAUAGCAUAAAACUGAUCAACAAGUCACAUGUUUGGUUUCUGACUAGUUUUCUAGCACUGGUUUCACGGUCGUGUUCGUGUAUAACAUGCUAAGCUUAGCUAUCUGCGCCCUCCAAUCCACCAGGUCAACGUACACGCCCAAAUCCGCAAGUGAAGAGCCAUAUCCUAGCUCCGGCCGCCGUCCCAUGGCUUCGCCGCCGCCGGGGGCACUAUGAUCUAUGGCAAUAUGCACAGACAGAUCGAGCUGGGAGAGCUCAUCUUUUUAGCCUCAGGUUGAUUAGGCUCAGGUGCAGAGACAGCUUGUAGAUAGCUCGAAUGAUAUGACGACGUAUAUAUGCAUGAAGAAGAACAUCAGGAUCAAGGAAGCUACCUUUAUUUGAGCUUCGGAAAAGGCAGUUGAUAUUUUGGUACAUGGAGAUGAAUGAUUAGAGCCAAGUGAAUGGUCCAAGCACUUGCUAAAUUCAGUACAUACCCCUCUGCAUGCCUUAAUUUUGUGGAUCUCUCGCUCGAUCAGCGACGUCGGUCGUCAUCUCGUCACAACAUGGGAUUGAUUGUCAAAACAUGCAUGAAUUGUUUAGGUAUGCCGGCCACAUUAGUUUCAUGGGACAAACGAAGAUUGCGAGGUAUAACAAUCCGGAUAUUUAUACGGUUAUCAGAUAGUACAAACAAGUAUGACUGAUAUUUGCAAUUGGACUACCUGAUACAAUUGCCAUGAGAUGAAUCUUCAAAAGCAAACAUAUGUCUUGAAUGUCCGGCUGGGUACUGUGUGGAUAUGUAAAUAUAUAGAAGCAUGAUCAGUUGAUUACAUGCAUAAUGAUCAGAGAGAGAUGAAGCUGGCUUGCAUAAGUACACUACAGAUCAAGAGCAGGGAAUUUUUCGUUUUUUUCCUGGUUACGACCUUUCAGGGUUGUAAUCUUAUACUCUAUCAAUAGAACUUCGUUAAAAAAAAGAGCAGGGAAUUAACAAAUGCAUGAGAACGCAGCAUGGUGGAAAGCACACGAUGCUGGUGAGUAUGCAAAUGUACAUUUUAAUGCCCCUUAUUUGUUGCAUUGCUUAAUUCCUAGUUUUAGCCAGUUUUGCCAAUGCACGGUGUAAGUUUUAAGAGUAAAUUGCACCCGGUUAUUUAAUUAGCAUAGAAUUUCACUUUGCACCCGGUUAUUACCACAGUUGUAGUGUGAGCAUCUUACCAUUAACAGAGGCAGUACUAUGAGGACAUGCAGUUGAUUAGGCUGCAACAUGUUGAUAUAUAUCAAUGGUAUGGCUAGCUAGUUUCUGUAACACAUAGGGCAUCCCACUAUCUGUAAUUCUGUAUGCAAUACUGAACUAUAUGCUAUGCUAGCUUGUAGGACAUUAUAUUUGGCGGAACAAUUGGGAAGUGUCUGUUUAGUCCAAUAAUGGCUUUAAUUAGCACAAUAUUGUCCUUUGGGGGUGAAUAUGUAUUCUGAUUAUCUUUGGAGAUUUUACAGUUGAAGUGAUAAAAUGAAGGAUGCAUUAUGCAUAGGCAUAAAUUCAUAGCC